CCUCGGACGACUUGGCGCUCCGGGACAGCAGCAGACGCCCAAGCUCCGGCAGCGCAGAGCCCCGCCGGGGGCCCGGGGGGCUGGGAGCCGGGGAUCGCGGGGACGGAAGUGGGGGACCGAGUCUCGCGAGCCCGGGCCCUCCUCGCAGCUGGGGCCCCACUGGCGCCCCCGCGGGAGCGCUACGGGAGAGGCGCCUAUGCGGCUGCAGGUUUUAUUAUGGAGCUGUCAAGGUAGAAAGCGCCGCUGGGUUAGAGUCUCCCCGACUGAGCUGGUCACGGCAAGUGGCGUCCAUUGUGGGGGCUCAAAUCCAGGUUGAAGGGUUGCCAGAGUGACGGUUGGAGAACGUGGAGAACUAAGCUGGAGGACACCCGAGUACUCUUAAAGCAAUCCCCAUGGCCAAAAUCAACAGCCGAUUUGGAUACCAUCAAGACACCUGAAACCUUAUCAUGAGCCAGAUGCCAAGGAAGAGAUUCCAGGAGGAUCCCAAGGACCCCCUGUUGCAGCCGUGUUGAGGCUGAUGCUCAGGAGGACCCCAACUGUCACAAGCAACACCUGU
rnacentral:lncRNA from 1 species